GAUGCUUCUCUGCCUUUUGGCUAAGAUCAAGUGUAGUACCUGUUCUUAUCAGUUUAAUAUCUUAAUCUCUGGGGAUACCUCGCAGUAGCCCUC
rnacentral:snRNA from 1 species